UGCAGCCGCGGCCAUGUGAUAUGAAAAUGCCCGCACUUUCUCUGUUGGAGGGUCGCAGGCACCGUGUUCUGCCACCUUCGUUUAUAAUGAAAGGAAGCGCCAAGUUUCAGUUAGGGUUAAAUAAAGAUGCCAGUUUUCCCCAUCCGGGUUGAAAGCCCCGUUGAACUCUAUCCAAGUACCCUGGGACUCUCUGGGCGAAGAAAAUAGUAGAAGGAAGUGUUUUCUGCAAACGGAGACGGGAACAGGCCCUGCGGAAGGCUCCAGGGGACCCAGAGCCUGAAGACCACAGCUGAUCCCCUGGCCCCUGAAGUUGAUAACGUCAGAAUUUGUGAGAAAGGAGAAAACAUGUUUUCCAUGAAGCAUGCUGUUUGCAUCCUUUCUUCUGCCUCCAAAGCUCAACAUAGAUCCUUGAUCCAUGAGGAGAACCCAGAGGCAGGGGCUUGGCAAUGGCAUCGGUCUGCGGUAGUGAUGGGUUCGCCUCUCAUUCCAAGAUGCUGAAUGAUCUUUGACCAGUAACAUCACCUCCCUGACCGUGAUUUUCACCUCCAGAGAAUGGGAGAGGAAGAAGCGUGCCUGGGGGACCAGGCUGAGGAUGAACUGUAAGCCUGCUCUGAUGGAAACUCUCAGUCACCACUGAGGUCCACUAUCAGUGAAAUGGACUGAAAUUGAUGUACACCUGAGGACAGGCAGCGAGUGUCUAUUAUGUUUAUGCAGCAGGUGUU